CCUACGGGAGGCAGCAGUAAGGAAUAUUGGUCAAUGGAGGCAACUCUGAACCAGCCAUGCCGCGUGCAGGAUGACGGCCCUAUGGGUUGUAAACUGCUUUUAUACAAGAGAAAACCCUGGUACGUGUACCAGGUUGAUGGUAUUGUAAGAAUAAGCAUCGGCUAACUUCGUGCCAGCAGCCGCGGUAAGACGAAGGAUGCAAGCGUUAUCCGGAUUCAUUGGGUUUAAAGGGUGCGUAGGCGGACUGAUAAGUCAGUGGUGAAAUCUCUUUGCUUAACAAAGAAACUGCCAUUGAUACUGUCGGUCUAGAGUAUAGAUGACGUUGGCGGAAUAUGACAUGUAGUGGUGAAAUACUUAGAUAUGUCAUAGAACACCGAUUGCGAAGGCAGCUAACGAAACUAUAACUGACGCUGAGGCACGAAAGUGCGGGGAUCAAACAGGAUUAGAUACCCUGGUAGUCCGCACCGUAAACGAUGAUUACUCGUUGUUGGCGAUAUGACAGUCAGCGACCAAGCGAAAGCGAUAAGAAUCCACCUGGGGAGUACGCCGGCAACGGUGAAACUUAAAGGAAUUGACGGCUGAGACGNGCGACGGACGACGACGAGGGAGAGG
rnacentral:rRNA from 1 species